rnacentral:rRNA from 1 species
CGUAGGGCGCAAGCGUUGUCCGGAAUUAUUGGGCGUAAAGAGCUCGUAGGCGGCUUGUCACGUCGGAUGUGAAAGCCCGGGGCUUAACCCCGGGUCCGCAUUCGAUACGGGCUAGCUAGAGUGUGGUAGGGGAGAUCGGAAUUCCUGGUGUAGCGGUGAAAUGCGCAGAUAUCAGGAGGAACACCGGUGGCGAAGGCGGAUCUCUGGGCCAUUACUGACGCUGAGGAGCGAAAGCGUGGGGAGCGAACAGGAUUAGAUACCCUGGUAGUCCACGCCGUAAACGUUGGGAACUAGGUGUUGGCGACAUUCCACGUCGUCGGUGCCGCAGCUAACGCAUUAAGUUCCCCGCCUGGGGAGUACGGCCGCAAGGCUA